rnacentral:rRNA from 1 species
AUUGAACGCUGGCGGCAUGCCUUACACAUGCAAGUCGAACGGCAGCACGGGGCAACCUGGUGGCGAGUGGCGAACGGGUGAGUAAUGCAUCGGAACGAACCUUUCAGUGGGGGAUAACGUAGCGAAAGUUACGCUAAUACCGCAUAUUCUGUGAGCAGGAAAGCAGGGGAUCGCAAGACCUUGCGCUGAUUGAGCGGCCGAUGUCAGAUUCGCGAGUUGGGGAGGGAAAGGCUCACCAAGGCGACGAGCUGUAGCGGGUCGGAGAGGAUGAUCCGCCACACUGGAACUGAGACACGGUCCAGACUCCUACGGGAGGCAGCAGUGGGGAAUUUUGGACAAUGGGGGCAACCCUGAUCCAGCCAUGCCGCGUGAGUGAAGAAGGCCUUCGGGUUGUAAAGCUCUUUCGGCCGGGAAGAAAUCGCACGGGCUAAUACCCUGCGUGGAUGACGGUACCGGAAUAAGAAGCACCGGCUAACUACGUGCCAGCAGCCGCCGCCGUAA